rnacentral:rRNA from 1 species
GGGGAAUCUUCCGCAAUGGGGGCAACCCUGACGGAGCAAUACCGCGUGGGGGAGGAAGGCUCUUGGGUCGUAAACCCCUUUUCUCAGGGAAGAACACAAUGACGGUACCUGAGGAAUCAGCAUCGGCUAACUCCGUGCCAGCAGCCGCGGUAAUACGGAGGAUGCAAGCGUUAUCCGGAAUCAUUGGGCGUAAAGCGUCCGUAGGUGGUGUUUCAAGUCUGCUGUUAAAGCCCGGGGCUCAACCCUGGAGGAGCAGUGGAAACUGGAAUACUGGAGUGCGGUAGGGGUAGAGGGAAUUCCCGGUGUAGCGGUGAAAUGCGUAGAUAUCGGGAAGAACACCAGUGGCGAAGGCGCUCUACUGGACCGUAACUGACACUGAUGGACGAAAGCUAGGGGAGCGAAAGGGAUUAGAUACCCCAGUAGUC